GGAUUCCCCUAGUAACUGCGAGUGAAGCGGGAAGAGCUCAAAUUUAAAAUCUGGCGGUUUUGCCGUCCGAGUUGUAAUUUAGAGAAGCAUUUUCCGCGUCGGACCGUGUACAAGUCUCCUGGAACGGAGCGUCAUAGAGGGUGAGAAUCCCGUCUUUGACACGGACUACCGAGGCUUUGUGAUAUGCUCUCAAAGAGUCGAGUUGUUUGGGAAUGCAGCUCAAAAUGGGUGGUGAACUCCAUCUAAAGCUAAAUAUUGGCGAGAGACCGAUAGCGAACAAGUACCGUGAGGGAAAGAUGAAAAGCACUUUGGAAAGAGAGUGAAACAGUACGUGAAAUUGCUGAAAGGGAAACGCUUGAAGUCAGUCGCAUCUACCAGAAUUCAGCCUUUGUGGUGUACUUUCUGGUUGGAUGGGCCAGCAUCACUUUUGGUCAUUGGAAAAGGGUAGGGGAAAGGUGGCACCCUUUGGGUGUGUUAUAGUCCUCUGCCAUAUACAGUGGCUGGGAGUGAGGAAUGCCUUUUAUUUUGUAGGAUGCUUGGCGUAAUGGCUUUAAACGACCCGUCUUGAAACACGGACCAAGGAGUCUAACAUGCCCGCGAGUGUUCGGGUGGUUAAAACCCGUGCGCGUAAUGAAAGUGAAAGUUGGGAAGGCUGUCAUGGCCUGCACUGACGCCCGGACUUGAGAUUUAUCGACGGUUCUGCGGUAGAGCGUGUAUGUUGGGACCCGAAAGAUGGUGAACUAUGCCUGAAUAGGGUGAAGCCAGAGGAAACUCUGGUGGAGGCUCGUAGCGAUUCUGACGUGCAAAUCGAUCGUCAAAUUUGGGUAUAGGGG
rnacentral:rRNA from 1 species